GGAAAGGGAAAGCGAAAGGGAAAGAGCGGGCGAUGUCCCCGCAGCGGGACCGGGGCAGGCGGCACACGCAGCCCGCAGCGGGGGGCAGCAUGUGAUCAUCCCCAGGAGGUGCACAGGGAGAGGUCCCACCAGGACACCCCUCAUCCCAGGGGUGCAGCGGUUGAUUACGGGGUCCCGUGACAGCUCCACAUCUACAGUGACCAAGGACCCAUGGGGACGGUGGUCCUGGAGGUGGCUGGUGACUGCAGACUGCUGGAAUGCUCCAUGCCUGGAUGAGACGUGUGGGGGUGCUGGGGAUGCUGGUGGCUGUGGGUUUCCUACUGAGCCCGGAUCAUCGCAGCCAAGGCAGGCCAGGUUGGACGGGGCCUUGGGCAACCUGAGCUGGAUUUCAGCCUCUGGAUUUCAGCUCCCAAAAUGUGCCAAGCGUGAGCCUUCAGCAGGAGCUUCAUCCACCCAACACAUGCUGGACUAAUUCAUCCCAACCCCUCUCUGCAGGAGUUUUGCCUUCACGGAAGCAGCCGGUGCAUUAGAAGUUGGUUUUGGAAUGCACUCACAGUGCCAACAGCCAUAGUGACCGUCCUGCUGAGCAGGGGGGGGUCUGCAAUGGGGAUGGAGCCCAAACCGUGGCCUUGGGACCCGUCUGAUUUUCCCUGCUGCCAGCUGGGGGAUGGGGGCAUCAGGAACAGGAUACAGCUAGGAACAGGAGCAGGCGUUUCCUCGCUUACCCUGGGGCUUUAAAGGCCAGGCUCACCCCCAGCAAGGUCCUCAGUUAGCUGCCCAGCUGCUUAUAAGGUCAGAUUUGUCAUCUCAAAAUACAGUUUGCUGUAGAACAGAGAAUAUUUAGAAGGGAUUUGGUGAGUAACAUCUGCUGCUGUACUGAAAAUUCAAAGUGUUAAAAACUUAACAAAAAUAAGAGGUUUGGGUAAAAAUAAAAGGCCUUUGGAGA